CCAGUGGUUUAACUGGAAAUAUAGCAUAAGCCAUAUCCAAUUUGAAGUUAAUAGGAUAUUUGGAUUUAUCAAACAACAGUUUGACAGGAUCAGUGCCUUAUUUCUUAUCUCAACUUCAUUCCUUGAAAGUUCUGAACCUGGAAGGGAAUCAGCUAACAGGAGCAGUUCCAAUGCAACUCAGAGCGAAUUCA